CUGAUUCAUGAUGGGGUCUCUGUCAUGAGGCCUUAAGUCACGCUAAGUUACUUGGGGCCUUUUCUGACUUCUGGAGCAGAACACUCAGGCGGAUCUGUGACCCCAAGUGACAGCACCCACAGCCGGAGAGAAGCCCUUUGAGACAGGUUUGGAAGGCACAAAAGCUAAUUCUUCUGCCUCCUCCGUGUCUCAAAGCAUAAAAAUCCUCCAAUCUCCCGCCUGGAAGGUCGACGCCUGGCUGUCCACCUUCUGGGGACAGAUGAAGGCAGAGGGCUGGGGCUGUCUCAGCACACAGUCUGUAAACUUAAUCCCACUGUAGUCACCUGUGCUGCUUGUUGACCCUCUGUUGUUCCUUCUUCGGAGAAUAAAACGCCUGUCUCUGCCAGCUUUUGGGGAGAGGCAG
rnacentral:lncRNA from 1 species